UUAAGCGACUAAGCGUACACGGUGGAUGCCCUGGCAGUCAGAGGCGAUGAAGGACGUGCUAAUCUGCGAAAAGCGUCGGUAAGGUGAUAUGAACCGUUACAGCCGGCGAUGUCCGAAUGGGGAAACCCAGUGCAAUUCGUUGCACUAUCGUUAACUGAAUACAUAGGUUAACGAGGCGAACCGGGGGAACUGAAACAUCUAAGUACCCCGAGGAAAAGAAAUCAACCGAGAUUCCCCCAGUAGCGGCGAGCGAACGGGGAGCAGCCCAGAGUCUGAAUCAGCUUGUGUGUUAGUGGAACGGUCUGGAAAGUCCGACGGUACAGGGUGAUAGUCCCGUACACCAAAAUGCACAGGCUGUGAACUCGAAGAGUAGGGCGGGACACGUGGUAUCCUGUCUGAAUAUGGGGGGACCAUCCUCCAAGGCUAAAUACUCCUGACUGACCGAUAGUGAACCAGUACCGUGAGGGAAAGGCGAAAAGAACCCCGGCGAGGGGAGUGAAAAAGAACCUGAAACCGUGUACGUACAAGCAGUGGGAGCACCUUCGGGUGUGACUGCGUACCUUUUGUAUAAUGGGUCAGCGACUUAUAUUCUGUAGCAAGGUUAACCGUAUAGGGGAGCCGCAGGGAAACCGAGUCUUAACUGGGCGUUAAGUUGCAGGGUAUAGACCCGAAACCCGGUGAUCUAGCCAUGGGCAGGUUGAAGGUUGGGUAACACUAACUGGAGGACCGAACCGACUAAUGUUGAAAAAUUAGCGGAUGACUUGUGGCUGGGGGUGAAAGGCCAAUCAAACCGGGAGAUAGCUGGUUCUCCCCGAAAGCUAUUUAGGUAGCGCCUCGUGAAUUCAUCUUCGGGGGUAGAGCACUGUUUCGGCUAGGGGGUCAUCCCGACUUACCAACCCGAUGCAAACUACGAAUACCGAAGAAUGUUAUCACGGGAGACACACGGCGGGUGCUAACGUCCGUCGUGAAGAGGGAAACAACCCAGACCGCCAGCUAAGGUCCCAAAGUCAUGGUUAAGUGGGAAACGAUGUGGGAAGGCACAGACAGCCAGGAUGUUGGCUUAGAAGCAGCCAUCAUUUAAAGAAAGCGUAAUAGCUCACUGGUCGAGUCGGCCUGCGCGGAAGAUGUAACGGGGCUAAACCAUGCACCGAAGCUGCGGCAGCGACACUAUGUGUUGUUGGGUAGGGGAGCGUUCUGUAAGCCUGCGAAGGUGACCUGUGAGGGUUGCUGGAGGUAUCAGAAGUGCGAAUGCUGACAUAAGUAACGAUAAAGCGGGUGAAAAGCCCGCUCGCCGGAAGACCAAGGGUUCCUGUCCAACGUUAAUCGGGGCAGGGUGAGUCGACCCCUAAGGCGAGGCCGAAAGGCGUAGUCGAUGGGAAACAGGUUAAUAUUCCUGUACUUGGUGUUACUGCGAAGGGGGGACGGAGAAGGCUAUGUUAGCCGGGCGACGGUUGUCCCGGUUUAAGCAUGUAGGCUGGUUAUCCAGGCAAAUCCGGAUAAUCAAGGCUGAGGUGUGAUGACGAGGCACUACGGUGCUGAAGUAACAAAUGCCCUGCUUCCAGGAAAAGCCUCUAAGCAUCAGGUAACAUCAAAUCGUACCCCAAACCGACACAGGUGGUCAGGUAGAGAAUACCAAGGCGCUUGAGAGAACUCGGGUGAAGGAACUAGGCAAAAUGGUGCCGUAACUUCGGGAGAAGGCACGCUGGUGUGUAGGUGAAGUCCCUGCGGAUGGAGCUGAGACCAGUCGAAGAUACCAGCUGGCUGCAACUGUUUAUUAAAAACACAGCACUGUGCAAACACGAAAGUGGACGUAUACGGUGUGACGCCUGCCCGGUGCCGGAAGGUUAAUUGAUGGGGUUAUCCGUAAGGAGAAGCUCUUGAUCGAAGCCCCGGUAAACGGCGGCCGUAACUAUAACGGUCCUAAGGUAGCGAAAUUCCUUGUCGGGUAAGUUCCGACCUGCACGAAUGGCGUAAUGAUGGCCAGGCUGUCUCCACCCGAGACUCAGUGAAAUUGAACUCGCUGUGAAGAUGCAGUGUACCCGCGGCAAGACGGAAAGACCCCGUGAACCUUUACUAUAGCUUGACACUGAACAUUGAGCCUUGAUGUGUAGGAUAGGUGGGAGGCUUUGAAGCGUGGACGCCAGUCUGCGUGGAGCCAACCUUGAAAUACCACCCUUUAAUGUUUGAUGUUCUAACGUUGGCCCCUUACCGGGGUUGCGGACAGUGUCUGGUGGGUAGUUUGACUGGGGCGGUCUCCUCCCAAAGCGUAACGGAGGAGCACGAAGGUUAGCUAAUCCUGGUCGGACAUCAGGAGGUUAGUGCAAUGGCAUAAGCUAGCUUGACUGCGAGCGUGACGGCGCGAGCAGGUGCGAAAGCAGGUCAUAGUGAUCCGGUGGUUCUGAAUGGAAGGGCCAUCGCUCAACGGAUAAAAGGUACUCCGGGGAUAACAGGCUGAUACCGCCCAAGAGUUCAUAUCGACGGCGGUGUUUGGCACCUCGAUGUCGGCUCAUCACAUCCUGGGGCUGAAGUAGGUCCCAAGGGUAUGGCUGUUCGCCAUUUAAAGUGGUACGCGAGCUGGGUUUAGAACGUCGUGAGACAGUUCGGUCCCUAUCUGCCGUGGGCGCUGGAGAAUUGAGGGGGGCUGCUCCUAGUACGAGAGGACCGGAGUGGACGCAUCACUGGUGUUCGGGUUGUCAUGCCAAUGGCACUGCCCGGUAGCUAAAUGCGGAAGAGAUAAGUGCUGAAAGCAUCUAAGCACGAAACUUGCCCCGAGAUGAGUUCUCCCUGAGACUUUAAGUCUCCUGAAGGAACGUUGAAGACGACGACGUUGAUAGGCCGGGUGUGUAAGCGCAGCGAUGCGUUGAGCUAACCGGUACUAAUGAACCGUGAGGCUUAACCUU
rnacentral:rRNA from 1 species